CGAACGCUGGCGGCGUGCUUAACACAUGCAAGUCGAACGGAAAGGCCCUGCUUGCAGGGUACUCGAGUGGCGAACGGGUGAGUAACACGUGGGUGAUCUGCCCUGCACUUCGGGAUAAGCCUGGGAAACUGGGUCUAAUACCGGAUAGGAGCCAUUUUUAGUGUGAUGGUUGGAAAGUUUUUUCGGUGUAGGAUGAGCUCGCGGCCUAUCAGCUUGUUGGUGGGGUAAUGGCCUACCAAGGCGGCGACGGGUAGCCGGCCUGAGAGGGUGGACGGCCACAUUGGGACUGAGAUACGGCCAGACUCCUACGGGAGGCAGCAGUGGGGAAUAUUGCACAAUGGGCGCAAGCCUGAUGCAGCGACGCCGCGUGGGGGAUGACGGCCUUCGGGUUGUAAACUCCUUUCGCUAGGGACGAAGCUUUUUGUGACGGUACCUAGAUAAGAAGCACCGGCUAACUACGUG
rnacentral:rRNA from 1 species